GACAUAGGUGGCGAACGUUAUCCGGAUUUAUUGGGCGUAAAGGGCUCGUAGGCGGUCUGUCACGUCGGGAGUGAAAACACGGGGCUUAACCCCGUGCCUGCUUCCGAUACGGGCAGACUAGAGGUAUGCAGGGGAGAACGGAAUUCCUGGUGUAGCGGUGAAAUGCGCAGAUAUCAGGAGGAACACCGGUGGCGAAGGCGGUUCUCUGGGCAUUACCUGACGCUGAGGAGCGAAAGUGUGGGGAGCGAACAGG
rnacentral:rRNA from 1 species